GAUUUUCCAUUGUAAUUCCGCCAUCUUCGUUUCUAUGAGGAUCAUUUGUUUACAUAUGACAUUCGUCACUGUACGCAGUUUCCUGAAAUGUUCCUUUCAUUGAUGUGAUAAGGUUUCCCGCGCUUUAUGCAAAUUUUAUGAAAUUGAACUCCACGGAAACACUUCCGGUAAAAACAAUGGCUGAUUCCACCAUUCAAAAUCGUCUAUGAAAAUGUGAAGGUCAGGAUUAUGACAGUGCGAUCACUUAAAAGGAGGUCAGUAGUGGUUUUUCUAAAUGCGAUUUUUGAAUGGAAUGUAAAAAACUAUAUCUCGAGUAAACGCGAUUGAUAGUUUAGAUUAUUUUUACCGAUAACCGCUACGAAUUUCAGCUGACGGCGACUAUAGGC
rnacentral:lncRNA from 1 species